rnacentral:tRNA from 1 species
GCGCCCGUAGCUCAAUUGGAUAGAGCAUCUGACUUCGGAUCAGAGGGCUAGGGGUUCGAGUCCUCUCGGGCGCGCCA